UACGUAGGGUGCGAGCGUUGUCCGGAAUUAUUGGGCGUAAAGAGCUUGUAGGCGGUUUGUCGCGUCUGCUGUGAAAUCUCAAGGCUCAACCUUGAGCUUGCAGUGGGUACGGGCAGACUAGAGUGUGGUAGGGGAGACUGGAAUUCCUGGUGUAGCGGUGAAAUGCGCAGAUAUCAGGAGGAACACCGAUGGCGAAGGCAGGUCCCUGGGCCACUACUGACGCUGAGAAGCGAAAGCAUGGGGAGCGAACAGG
rnacentral:rRNA from 1 species